rnacentral:misc_RNA from 1 species
GCUUCAUCCACCAACCAUGAAGUUUGACGACAUCCUGGUCAGGGUCGGCGAGUUCGGCUUCUACCAGAAGCGGCUCUAUCUGAUUCUGUGUAUACCCGCCAUCAACGUGGGCUGCUACAUGAUGAUGCUGGUCUACACUAUGCAUACACCUGAUCACAGAUGCAAAAUCCCAGGAUAUGACAACGAUACUUUCUUGGAGCAAAGCGACUACCACAGGCAACUGAUCAAUAUGUCCAUUCCUGAUCCCGACGACCCGGAUUCGAUUUAUAAAUAUGACAGGUGUCAUAUAAUACAGUACAAGUCUAACGUUUCCUCGCAAGUCAAGUGCACGGAGUGGGUGUAUGACAAGUCCGUAUUUCAGGAAACUUUUGCAUCAAAGGUGAACCUUGUGUGUGACGAUUCACUCAAAACCUCCCAUGCUCAGAUGAUUUUCUACUUUGGGGUUUUAGCGGGAGAUGUUGGAUUCGGAAGUCUCGCAGAUGUGAUCGGUCGAAAGAAGGCUCUGGUAAUUUCCGCCGUGCUCCAGGUGUCGGCUGCUGUGAGUGUGGCCUUCGUGUCCAAUUAUUACGUCUUUGUCGUCCUGAAUUUCCUCGUGGGAGCGGCGUGUCACGGGGUCUUCGUGCCAGCCACCGUACUGAGCGUUGAGUUCGUGGGGCCCUCCAAAAGGGUGAUGACGGGGAUUCCCAUACACAUGUUCUUUGCCGUGGGGUUGGUGUAUCUGGCGGGGGUGGGUGCCCUCGUCCGCCAUUGGCAGUACCUACAACUGGCCGUGGCUGUCCCAUGUAUUGUCUACGUCUUCUACUGGUGGAUAAUCCCCGAGUCUCCUCGCUGGCUCCUGUCCCAGGGCCGUCUUGAAGAGGCAGAGGAGAUCAUACAGGAAGUGGCCAAAAAGAACGGCGUAAAAGUGACCGGGAACCUAAUAGAUUGUGAUUGCAAUGGACUACUAUGGAGUGACAAUGCAUAUCGGAAACCUAGGAGGCAACUUCUAUUUGAACCAGUUCAUUCUAGCGGUGGUGGAGUUUCCGGCCAAAAUAGGGUCCAUGUUGCUACUUAACAGAAUAGGAAGACAGAAGUUACACUGCCUAAUCAUGUUCAUAGGCGGUGCCGCACUAUUGUGUACAAUAUUCCCAGUCCUUUACGGCAAAGAAGAACUUCAGAGCUUGACAUUAGUCCUAUCCAUGAUAGGGAAAAUGGGGUCCGCCGCGGCCUUUGGGGUCAUCUAUAUAUACACAGCCGAGCUGUACCCGACCGUCGUCCGGAACGGAGCGAUGGGGACCAGUUCCUGUAUAGCUCGCUUUGGCGGAAUGGCAGCGCCUUACAUUGCUUCCACUGGUGAUUUUGUAAGCGGCAAAUUCGGGCUGGCGUUGCCAUUGGUGAUAUUUGGUGGAUCUUCUGUCACAGCCGGACUUCUCACCCUGAUGCUUCCAGAAACCCUGAACCGAAAACUACCUGAGACGAUUCAAGAUGGAAUCGACUUUGGAAAGAAGAAAUUUGACCUUGUCAUGAUGAAGAAGGUAUCCAAGACAAGCAUUCCUGAGAAUCCGGCGUCCUCAGAGCAAGAGGAAGCCAAGGAAAAUGCAGCCAGGCAGAGAUUCUAAGUACUCAAGUUUAUUUGUUGUGUACAAUAUUUGUUUUCAUUUAUUAUUAGUCUGAAAAAAUAUUCCAGUAAUGUUUUUCUUCACUUUUCUAAGGGAAUAAAUUUUAUUAUUAUU